GCAAUACCUGCCCAGUGCGAAAUAUUACUGUAAACGGCCGCCCUAGCGUGAGGGUGCUAAGGUAGCGAAAUUCCUUGCCUUUUGAUUGUAGGCCUGCAUGAAUGGUUUAACGAGGGUUUAACUGUCUCUAAAUUUUUCAUUGAAAUUGUACUGAAGGUGAAGAUACCUUCAUUAAAAAGUUAGACAAAAAGACCCCGUGCAACUUUGAAAAUUGACUUUAUUCAGGAGUAAAAGAUUUUUAGGUGGGGCGCCUAGAAAGUAAGCCUAACCUUUCUGAGUAACUAACUCUUUCCGGAUUUGACCCGAUUAUAUUCGAUCAUAGGAGAAGUUACGCCGGGGAUAACAGGCUAAUCCUUUAGUAGAGUUCGUAUUGGCUAAAGGGAUUGGCACCUCGAUGUUGAAUCAGGGAUGAUAGCUUCAAGGCGUAGAGGCUU
rnacentral:rRNA from 1 species